GCGCCUGUAGCUCAGCUUGGAUAGAGCGACAGCCUCCUAAGCUGUAGGGCGGGGGUUCGAAUCCCCUCAGGCGCG
rnacentral:tRNA from 1 species